AAUGAACGUUGGCGGCGUGGAUUAGGCAUGCGAGUCGUGCGAGAACCGUAGCAAUACGGGGACAGCGGCGAAAGGGAGAGGAACACGUGGAUACCUACCCUCAGGUUCAGGAUAGCUAUGGGAAACUAUAGGUAAUACUGAAUAAUAUCUCCGGAUCAAAGGUGUGAUUCCGCCGGAGGAGGGGUCCGCGUCCUAUUAGCUAGUUGGUGAGGUAAUGGCUCACCAAGGCGAAGAUGGGUACGGGAUGUGAGAGCAUGAUCCCGCUCAUUGGGACUGAGACACUGCCCAGACACCUACGGGUGGCUGCAGUCGAGAAUCUUCGGCAAUGGGGGAAACCCUGACCGAGCGACGCCGCGUGUGAGAUGAAGGCCUCGGUUGUAAUCACUGUCGUAGAGGAGGAAGUGUAGGUGGGUUCGUCCCA
rnacentral:rRNA from 1 species